rnacentral:sRNA from 1 species
GUUAUGCGGACUUGGCACAAGCGCUGCAUUAGCUUUCCCAACAACCCACAUAUAGCCGCCCCUUCAACGACGAAGGAUCGAGCUUCCCGAGAGAACGGGACCGGACAAAGGCGUCCUCGCUAGGUAACUAGCGGGGACGCC